rnacentral:rRNA from 1 species
CAACAUUUAUAGAACUAACCAGGAUUUUCUUUAGUAGCGGCGAGCGAAAAGAAAUCAGUUCAGCACUAAGUCACUUUGUCUUUAUGGCAAAUGUGAGAUGCAGUGUAUGGAAUGUUCAAUUUCUAGUAUGAGAAAUUAACGAUUUAAGUCCUUCUUAAAUGAGGCCAUUUACCCAUAGAGGGUGCCAGGCCCGUAUAACGUUAAUGAUUACUAGAGAAUAUUUCCAAAGAGUCGUGUUGCUUGAUAGUGCAGCACUAAGUGGGUGGUAAACUCCAUCUAAAACUAAAUAUAACCAUGAGACCGAUAGUAAACAAGUACCGUGAGGGAAAGUUGAAAAGAACUCUGAAUAGAGAGUUAAAUAGUACGUGAAACUGCUUAGAGGUUAAGCCCGAUGAACCUGAAUAUCCAUUAUGGAAAAUUCAUCAUUAUGAUUGUGAUAUGAAUAAUAUUAUAAUAAUGGUGUGCAUUUUUUCCAUAUAAGGACAUUGUAAUCUAUUAAUAUGCCAUUAUUUAUCAUAAGAUCGAUGACUUUAGUUUAUUCAAAUUAUUUUGCUUGCAAUUUAACAUAGAAUAAAUGUUGUCGAUUUGAUAAAGUGUUGAUAGAUUUAUUAUAUAUAGUGCUUGAAUAUUUAUAUUCUAUAAUAGCAUGAUAAUCAUUGAUUUUUGUGUUUAUUAUAUGCACUUAUAUGAUUAACAAUGCGAAAGAUUCAGGAUACCUUCGGGACCCGUCUUUGAAACACGACAAAAAAAGAAUGCUCAAAUUAAAUUCUU